rnacentral:tRNA from 1 species
GGGCGCGGUGGCGCGCGAGGAGGACCGCCGUCUCGCAUACGACGAGGUGUCGUGGCUGCGCGAGGCGAGGUUCGGCGCGCUGCGCGUCCCC